rnacentral:rRNA from 1 species
ACUCAAAGGAAUAGACGGGGGCCCGCACAAGCAGCGGAGCGUGUGGUUUAAUUCGAUGCGACGCGAAGAACCUUACCAGGGCUUGACAUCUGGUGUUCAGCACCCGAAAAGGUGCGGCCGUAAGGCGAACCAGACAGGUGCUGCAUGGCUGUCGUCAGCUCGUGCCGUGAGGUGUUGGGUUAAGUCCCGCAACGAGCGCAACCCCCGGGGCUAGUUAGGUUCCUAGCCCGACUGCCGGGACCAACCCGGAGGAAGGUGGGGAUGACGUCAAGUCAGCACGGCCCUCACGCCCUGGGCCACACACACGCUACAAUGGCCGGUACAGCGGGACGCCAAGCCGCGAGGCGGAGCCAAUCCCUCCAAAGCCGGCCCCAGUUCGGAUCGGGGGCUGCAACCCGCCCCCGUGAAGUCGGAGUUGCUAGUAACCGCGGGUCAGCACACCGCGGUGAAUACGUUCCCGGGCCUUGUACACACCGCCCGU